rnacentral:lncRNA from 1 species
AAGGAAAAAUAAACGGCCUGCUGUAGGUCUCCUGGCUGGCCUGUGGCUGCGCUGAGAUCGAACCGAGUCUUCCGCCACCAUGAUUUACCUCCCAGCAAGGCCGUGGGAGGCAGAGCAAGGCCAGGACCAGAGGAGCGGAGAUGAUAUUGCUGACAUAUAUCAUCCUGGCCAUAGCACGGAGAACAAAUUGGAAAGGGGCAAGAGUGGAGACAGAGAUGGAAGAUGUUGGGGCCUGGAUCUGAGCAACAGUGGUGGACACAGAGAGAAGGGAACAGAUGCCAGAGGUCUUAGCUGGUUUUAAGCUGAAGUUGUCACACUGGAGUUUUCCAAUGUAUGUUUUAUGUGAAGAGUUCUGCGGUUGAAUAAGGUUGGGGAACCCUGCCAGCUUCAGCCCCGUCUGGAAAAGACCAGGUGUAAAUGAGCACCCCAAAGAUUCUGAGAAGGCCUCCAGGAAAGAGGCAUGGUUACCUUUUAUGAACAGAGCAUUUCUCAUGCUGACCUGACUUUUUAUUGUGUAACACUUAUUCACACAGCUUGAAACUAGUGUUAACGAGCGACUUUGGGAAAUGCUAACUUACACAACUUACUGACUUCUGUCUGCAUCACUACAUAUGCAUUUCCCGUCACCAGGGAUGCCUCCUUCUUCCUGUGAGCCAAACUGUCUUCUCUUCACGGGGAUCCACGUUCACCUCUUAAUGAAAUCAUCCCAGAUGACCCAUGACAAGCCACCAAUCUCCAGUUAUUUGAGAAAAUCCCUGGUCUGUCAAGGGCAGCUCUAUAUAACAAUCAGUUAGACGGUAGUCUUUUAAAAGUGUAGAUCACAGAUGUCAUUCCUCUGCUCCGAACCCUGCAAUCAUUUCCCAAAACAUGCAGAAGAAGGUAGAGACUCCUAAGAGCCCAAUGAUCUGUCCCUUCUGCUUCUUCAGCCUAAUUUCCCUCCCCUUCUUACGUCUUUCCGGUCACACUGGCCUUUCCCCAAAGACGCCGAGCUUAUUCCUGCUUCGGGGCCUCUGCACCAGCUCUCACCUUCCCCUGGGAUGCUCUGAGCUCAGAGCCCCACACGGCACACUCCCUCUCCUCGCUCAGGUCUCUCUCACAUACCACCUCCCAGUGAGGUCAUCCUGGACCGCCAGACCUCAAGCCCCGACUUCCUCUAUUGGCUAUUUUCUGACCCCAUACUCUGCUGCUUUUUUGCCAUAGUCUCAUCACUGCUACAUUGUUUUCCAUACUCAUUAAUUAAUAUUUCUUAUCUUCCUCCUCCACCAGAAUGUAAGACCCAAGAGGGAAGGGGAUUUGCUUGCCUUCUUCACCAGUCUAUCCCCGGAGCCUGGAAGAAUGGCUGGAACGUAGUAGGAAUUCAAGAAAUACUUGUUGAAUAAGCGAAUAAAUAAAAAUGUUUAGUCAAGGUUCAAA